CGCAGUAUCGAUCAUUGCCCCCGCCAGCCCGCGCGCCGCCCAUACCUCCCAGCGCCGCCAUUUUGAGUCGAGCUGUUGGCACUGUGCUGCCCGCGUUGAUUAUCUCACACCAUGGCCAUGGACACCCAGGCUCAGGCCAAGAACCUCGACAACGUGAAGAAAGAGCCCCAGACGCCCAAGACGAAUGAGAAUGGGGAAAAUACGUCGAAUUUCCGUGGCGGCGGACGAGGAGGGCGAGGAUUCCGUGGGAACCGGGGCGGCGGCGGCGGCCAGGGAGGACGAGGUGGAGCAAACAAUAACCAGGGAAAUGUUCAGACUUCUACACAAGUUCCCGGUGGUAUUGGAAGUUUAGGGAGUGGUGGGAGUGGCGAUACUGGUAGCCACGGGGCUGGUGGCCACGGUGGUGGUGGUGGUGGCCACGGUGGUGGUGGCGGCCACGGUGGUCAUGGCGGCGGCCAUGGUGGUGGUGGCGGCGGCCGUGGUGGUCGUGGUGGCGGCGGUGGUAGCAAUAGCCAUCACCACAGUAACAGUGACUCUAGGAGCGAGCAGCGUGGGGGCGGCGGCUACUACAGGGGCGGACGGGGUCGUGGCGGCGGCCGCGGCGGCGGUGGUGGCGGCGGCGGCGGCGGGGACAGAGGCGGCGACAGGUCUAACUAUGGAGACAGAGAUGGCAGCUCUCAGAGGAAUCAGCAUCAAGACAGAAUUAUGGAACGUCUAAAACAGCUGGCUGGGCCUUUGCUUGAUCUACCACCAAGGGAAGAAACAGUGCGGAAAUUUUCUAACCAUUGCAGACUCUGGGUUGGUAAUCUUCCAUUAGACAUAAAAGAGGAUGACGUAAAGGAACUUUUUAAGCCCUUUGGAGAGUUCGAUGAAGUAUAUUUUGACAAAAACAAAGGAUUUGCCUUUGUUCGCAUGGAUUACAAGAGCAAUGCAGAAAAAGCUCGCCAAGAACUACACUUGAAGGAUUACAAAGGAAGACAGCUAAAAAUUCGCUUCUCAUCGCCUGGUACUGCAUUAAAGAUCCGUAAUCUUUCUACAUGGGUCACAAACGAGCUUUUGGAGAAAGCAUUUUCAGUAUUUGGAGAACUAGAAAAAGCAAUAGUUAUUACUGAUGAGCGAGGCCGUGCAACUGGUGAAGGAAUAGUUGAAUUCUGCAAGAAACCCUCUGCAAAUUUGGCACUAAAAAAAUGCAAUGAAGGCUGUUUCUUCAUGGUUUCAUCUCCCCGUCCUGUCAUUGUGGAACAAAUGGCUUUAGUUGAUGAUAACGAAGGCAUGAGCGAGAUAAAUGUAAACAAGCGUAAUCCCGAGUAUGUGAAGGAACGUCAACAAGGGCCACGUUUUGCACAUCCUGGAUCAUUUGAAUUUGAGUAUGGCUUGAAGUGGAAGCAGCUCUAUGAACUUUUUGAUAAGAAGAAAGAUGCUUUAGAUAAAGAAUUGCAAGAUGAGAAGAGGAAGUUGGAAGAACAGAUAGAAUAUGCCAAAUAUGAACAUGAAACAGAGAUGCUUAGAGAACAACUACGCCAGAGGGAAGAGAUGAAUCAGCGGACGAAAUCUGAUUAUGAACAGCGUCAGCGUGAAUGGGAAGAACAUCGCCGUGUAGAAGAGGAAAGACAGAGACGUCAAGAGGAGGAAUUAUCACUGAAAUUUCGUCAACAAGAGGAGGAGCUUCGGAGACGCCAAGAAGAAAACAGACAAUUUAUGCAGGAACGUGCUGGCGACAUGUUGAAGAAUGAAAAUAGCCAAGACAGUUUUGGAAGCAGUGGCUAUCAGGGUACUGAUGGUAGCAAUUGGCGCCGCAACAGUGACACAUACAGAUCCCAGGGAGGCAGCAGUUGGCGUGGAGGUGGUAGUGAAUCGUGGGGUCGCUCUGGAAUGGCAGGUAGUCGCGGAGGCACUAGCUCGUCUGGUCUGGCUGGUAGCUGGGCGGACAGUAGCUGGGAUGGUCGUCCAGAUCCCUGGCAGAGUGAUAGCCGUAGCGCAUACCAACGAGGCAGUAGUGAGAGUGAACUCCCGCCACCACCGAAUUAUCCGGACUUCAGUAUAGGCACUGGAUGUUGACCCUCGGCUUCCAACAUUGUCGAACUUCUCUACAAGAAGCUAUCAAGAACACAAGUGCAUGAGCAAAGGCCAGUCCUAAGAAAGAAGCCUUGUACAUCUUUUUUUGCUAAAUUCAACUUGAUGGAAAUAUUGCAUUAAUCGGUGAUCAAUACCAUUCAAAUGUUGAUGGGGUCAUGUCUUCAAAAUCAACCUUAAGGAUGCCCUUGACGAUGGCGUACUACAGAGGGCGAAAUCCAGGGUAUCGUCGUGGUACUAGGAUGGGCUUAGUAACCUGACCUGUAGUACCAGGGUUGUAAUGUAGCAGUCGGGGGCACAGCUACAUGGGUGAUAAGUGCGGGUAAUAUUGGGAACUCUGAUGUUGUGAUUGAGUGGGGCCUCAAAAUUUCACAGGGUGUAGUCAGAGUUAUUCUCUGGCUGAUGAACUGCACCCUGGAGCUUUAAGAAGAUUGGUUGCUGAUAUGGAUGAUAUCAGUGGUGCUGUUCCAUCGGCAUGACAAUCCCUUCAGCUGAUUUUCAUAGUUAAAUUUAGCCAGUUUAGGUCUUAACAAAAUUCUUUUAAAUAUUCAGGCAAGUUGAUGUCUUCAUGUUACAUGACUCAAGACUAGAAUUUGAAAUUAUAUUUAAAAUUAUGCUAAAACAGAAUUCAACUUCUAACAAAAUUUAAUUCCUCAAUUAGUAUUAAGGCAUUGUUAAUGUAUUUGUAUUAUAUGGAGAUCGAUAUAUUUUGUAACCGGUGCAUAUAAGAAUAUAUUUUUUUUAAACUUUAAAGAAAACAUUAAAAAAAUGGCAAAUAUG
rnacentral:misc_RNA from 1 species